CAGUGGGGAAUAUUGCACAAUGGGCGAAAGCCUGAUGCAGCGACGCCGCGUGAGGGAUGACGGCCUUCGGGUUGUAAACCUCUUUCAGCAGGGAAGAAGCGAAAGUGACGGUACCUGCAGAAGAAGCGCCGGCUAACUACGUG
rnacentral:rRNA from 1 species